rnacentral:tRNA from 2 species
GGCGGCAUAGCCAAACGGUAAGGCGGCGGUCUGCAAAACCGCUAUUUAUCGGUUCGACUCCGGUUGCCGCCUCCA